UGAAAACAGCUUGGCAAUCUCUUAAAUUGAUAGGUUUCUAAAGAAACUCUCCAUUUCAAGUAAGGAUCUGAUAUUUGGAUCUCCUAAGCAGUCUGAAAUGUAGUUUACCUCCAUAGAUUGGCUAUCUAGGAGCUUGUAAACAAAUUCAUAAAUUUGUCAUGCUGAUUAUAGUGUUGGCAAACACAAUGGCUGAUCAUGUUAUAAAUGUUUAUCAACACCCGCACUCACCCACCUGCUAAGAGGUGCUACGCUUUAAUGAAAUUGUUUGAAUAUCAAGGCUGGUUGCUAAGAUACAAUGUUCUUGUUACUAGGGAUGUGAUGCUUGCAGAUUUCUGUUAUCAAAUAAUGAUUAGAUAUGUGCUAACCUCAAGGUGCUCAGUGCGGUGAAAGGUUUACCGAGCUACAAAUUAGUAAACUGUCUGCUUGAGCAGGCACUGGCAGAAGAAACAUGAGCCUCAUCCAUACACGACUGGCAUUUUAAAAGAAGACAAGAGAGGACGGGAGCAGGGCCAUAAAUGAUGGCUCCUUGAAAGUUUGCCAUGGAAGGUUUACCUACUCUAUGGCUCAGCAUGAUAUGUCUCUAGCCAGCCAGGGAAUUUGUUGAAAUCCAUUGCCAAUAACUCCUUCCUUUCUUAUGAAAAGACCAUUUUUUACAUUUCCUUUUAACUGAUUGUUAGGCAAUUAUUAACAUUAAACACACCACAUCUUUUUGUGAGAAAUAAAAGCACAUGAAAAUGUAAUCCUAGAGGACAGAGGUGUAUUUUUAACAUGAACACAUUUUUAAGAUAAUGCCAGAUUUAAGAGAAUUCUUGGUAUAAAUGCCGUAUUUAGUAUGAUAAAUUUUGAAAAUGGUGCAAAAUUUUUUCUGUUUUUAUUUUAUAUUUUUAUUAUUCCAUUUUCUAGGAGAAUUCAAUCCCCCAGAAUAUUUAAUAUAAUAUAAAACAUCAUCAUCAGGUAACCAUCCUCCAGAAGAGUGCCUGCAACAAAAGAGGCACCUUAUGAGUGAAGGAAUGACAGCUAAAUCCAGAA
rnacentral:lncRNA from 1 species